AAAAUAUAAACACUGGAACCAGCUCCUGCUGCUAAUACAGCUGAUUUGGGUUCACCGUUUUCUGUAUAAAAUCCAGCAACUCCACAAGAGAAAACGAGAGUCGUAAUAUCAAAAGGUUUGAUAUUUGAAAUAAAUACCUUUGCCGAAGUAGCGUUAAUGGAUCCAAAAUCAGUGGAUAUAAGACGCACAUCUCCAUCACCGAUUACAUCAAGCAUAUCAAGGCCACCAGGAAGA